rnacentral:rRNA from 1 species
UACAGAGGGGGCAAGCGUUGUUCGGAAUUACUGGGCGUAAAGCGUGCGCAGGCGGUUUUGUAAGACAGAUGUGAAAUCCCCGGGCUCAACCUGGGAACUGCGUUUGUGACUGCAAGACUCGAGUGCGGCAGAGGGGGGUGGAAUUCCACGUGUAGCAGUGAAAUGCGUAGAGAUGUGGAGGAACACCGAUGGCGAAGGCAGCCCCCUGGGUCGACACUGACGCUCAUGCACGAAAGCGUGGGGAGCAAACAGG